GUGGAAACUACAUUUUUAAACACGCACAGACGCAUUUAUCAGCUUGUUGUUUUUUGCAUGAAUUUUCUAGGAGGAUUCAGUCGUGACCGUCUGUCUGGAUCACAGAGGAGCCGAAACCAGUGCGAGAUGGAGAGCUGCGACUUCCAGAGUCAGCUGCUGUCCGUCAUGGAAGUCCUGGCCAAGGCGGCUGUAGCUGAGAUAAACCGGCGUGUGGACCAGAGCUGCACGGUGCUCAGGCUGGAGGUGAGCCAGAGCCGGCGGGACAUCGACCUGCUGAAGAGCAAGUGUGAGGUGAUGGAGGCAGAGCUGAGGAAGAGCCGGAUGAGGGCCAGGAGAAAAGUGUUUAACAAUCCAUCAGCGGGGAGAUUCUCUCCUCUGGUCAAAGUAGUUCUCAACAAAGAAACUCAGAGCUCACAUUGGGACACACCGGUGGAAGCUCAGGCUCCAGAUCAACCCCAGCAGUGUGCUGAGGCCGUGGAGCUUGCUAAUGGGCCUGAUCACAUACGGAUCAAAGAGGAGUGUGCAGAAGAGGAUAUGUGGAAAAAUGAUGCAGAGGACAGACCGAGUGAGUCCACACCUUUAAUAGUGAAGAAAUAAAACAAUGUGAUGUUUAAGAGGGACUUUUCGUUCAAG
ensembl:lncRNA